AUUAUUCUAUAUUUCAGCUUACAGACCUCCACUGCUGGCCUCCCCAGCCCCAGCUUCGCCAAGCAUCCCAUCCCUGAAUCUAAUAGAGCAUUUUCAAGAUAAGCUUACACAUAUACAAGUUCUGAACAAUAACAUUCAAACUCAGUCUACCACUCAAUAUGACCUGCUCAGUGGAAGAUCUUCCCUUUGUCGUAUAAAACCUCUUAUAGUAUGGCAGACGAGCAUAAGACCCUCCUAAUGAUAAGUCUCUCAUGGAUGUCACCAAUGCCAGGGACCGAGCCAAGCCGCUGCCUAUCAUUAUGUCCGUGAAAAGGGCUUGCAAUUAUUUUAAUAUUGUUAACAAUAGUUAAUGUUGCAUGGGUAGGUAUGUAUGAAAGAAACUAAACAUAUUGUGCUAAUAGUAUAAUAUAUUAAUUAAAUUUAAACAUUUGGUACAGACUAGGUACUUAUGUCAAUUGUACAAAUCUAUUAAAAUUUAAAUGUUUCUUGAUUUUGAGUGCUCUGUCACUAUAGUUAAGUAGACGUUUAUUUUCUUAAUAAAGUGUAAUAGCUGUAGGCUCCCUUCAAGAUCUGAAAUAAAAUAGUUUUAUUAACAAUUUUA